UGAGUAACGCGUGAGGAACCUGCCUUCCAGAGGGGGACGAACAGUUGGAAACGACUGCUAAUACCGCAUGAUGUGUUUCGAUGGCAUCAUCGAGACACCAAAGAUUUAUCGCUGGAAGAUGGCCUCGCGUCUGAUUAGCUAGUAGGCGGGGUAACGGCCCACCUAGGCGACGAUCAGUAGCCGGACUGAGAGGUUGACCGGCCACAUUGGGACUGAGAUACGGCCCAGACUCCUACGGGAGGCAGCAG
rnacentral:rRNA from 1 species